rnacentral:rRNA from 1 species
GUGAGGAAUUUUCCGCAAUGGGCGAAAGCCUGACGGAGCAAUGCCGCGUGAAGGAUGAAGGCCUAUGGGUUGUAAACUUCUUUUCUCAGAAAAGAAUUAUGACGGUAUCUGAGGAAUAAGCAUCGGCUAACUCUGUGCCAGCAGCCGCGGUAAGACAGAGGAUGCAAGCGUUAUCCGGACUGAUUGGGCGUAAAGCGUCUGUAGGUUGUUUAAAAAGUAUUCUGUCAAAGAUUAGGGCUUAACCCUAGAUAGGCAGAAUAAACUUUUAAGCUAGAGUUUGGUAGAGGCAGAGGGAAUUCCCGGUGGGGCGGUGAAAUGCGUAGAUAUCGGGAGGAACACCAAAGGCGAAGGCACUCUGCUGGGCCAAUACUAACACUGAGAGACGAAAGCGAGGGGAGCAAAUGGGAUUAGAAACCCUGGUAGUCC